rnacentral:rRNA from 1 species
UGGGGAAUCUUGCGCAAUGGGCGAAAGCCUGACGCAGCGACGCCGCGUGCGGGAAGAAGGCCUUAGGGUUGUAAACCGCUUUCAGGAGGGACGAAGCUACUCGGGUUAAUAGCCCAGAGGGUGACGGUACCUCCAGAAGAAGCCCCGGCUAACUACGUGCCAGCAGCCGCGGUAAGACGUAGGGGGCUAGCGUUGUCCGGAUUCAUUGGGCGUAAAGCGCGUGUAGGCGGCCAGGUAGGUCGGAUGUGAAAACUGGAGGCUCAACCUCCAGCCGUCAUCCGAAACCAUCUGGCUAGAGUCCGGAAGAGGAGAGUGGAAUUCCUGGUGUAGCGGUGAAAUGCGCAGAUAUCAGGAAGAACACCUAUGGCGAAGGCAGCUCUCUGGGACGGUACUGACGCUGAGACGCGAAAGCGUGGGGAGCGAACAG